UCCUUAAUGUAGCCUCGAUUCCAGGCCGCUGAGAAAGGCGGCCUGGUAUACACUGUUUACGCAUGCGCCAGAAUUACCAAGAAUCUUGGUAAUCGUAAAUUGUAGUAUAUUUAUCAGUAUUCUUAUUCCGCAUUUAGUUGUAAAACAUUGAUAUCCGUUUCAUUUAUAAUGAUGUCAUUGAAAAAAGAAAUCUAGUCCAAGUUGUGUAAUGGCUGCUACCUUCUCUUCUGCUCUCGCGUACAAGUUAUCAUGUGUUGGAAAACCAGGUCUAGUCUUGAAAGACAAGCAGCUGGAGGUGUUGAAGUGUCUGUACGCUGGUGUUUAUGUGGGUACCGUACCGACCGGCUAUGGCAAGUCCCAGAGCAAGUCCAUCUGCUUUCCAGACACUCCCUUUCUUGAUUGAUGUGAAGCUUGACAGGACCAGUGCACCUCUCUCUGAAAGAAGUGUUGUGAUGAAAGAAGUGUUGUGAUGGUGAUUUCUCCUCUUGUUUCUCUGAGUGAAGCCAUCUUCAAAGUGUUAGUGUGUCUGUUCGACGUUCAGUGCCAUUCUCUCUGGAAGGAAGUAUUGUUGUGACAUUUGCCGAAAAUUGGUCACAGAGUAAGUACGUGGUAUCUGAUCCGAGAACUGUGUGGCCUGAAUGUGUCUACAAUCCGAGGGACUUGUGUGUACCCGAUCCGAGGGACUUGUUGCUUGAGUGUGUAUCCGGACUUGUUGCUUGAGUGUGUAUUAAUGGAUAGUGCUUCAAUGGUUUAACUAAUUUCUUAUGAGAUUAACUUGUCGCCUGAGUGUGCAUCCGAUCCGAGCCUCAAGUUAAUGAAUAAAUCUACAGAGCUGAUGUUUUACUUAGCUGUCUCUGUCUACAGUAUAUACAGAGAGGUAGCCUCUCCUUUUUCUUUUUUCUGUUCUUUAUCACAAUAAGAUAAAAUACUGUUUUAA